rnacentral:tRNA from 1 species
UGCGGGUUGGAGAAGAUGAUACCUCAUUAGUCUCAUAAGCUAAAGACACUAGUUCGAAUCUAGUACCCGCAA